UAUAUGCAUUGCAACAUCUGUGACAUUCUGAAGAAUCUAAAGUGGCUUAAAUUCUUCACUAAACAUGCCAGAAAUUGAGGCUGCUUGGAAGUUACACCUCGAAAAUAUAUUUCCUAAUUUCAGAUGUGUCAAGCUCACAGAGGGGUUUCUCCUCAUUGCAUAUGUACUGGGAGGAGGAAGCGAUCAUUCUUCUCUCCCGAAGCUCAAAUUCAGGUCUUCUUCAUGACUGCGUGAGCAUCAUUUCCUCCAGAAAAGUACACCAGCAUAAAUUGACUGUGCUUCCAAAGCAAGACCAAUGAAGGUUGGCUAUCUUUAAUACUUUUAAUCUGGGACGCUGGAGAAAAGUGAUUAGUAGAUUCUCUCGUUUUGUUUCUCCCGACUAAGCAUUAUUCUUCCAGCAGAUAAAACCAUCAUCAAUUCCUCUCCCUAAUGUAUGGUGGGGCAGAGUUGUGUGGGAAAAAGUAUGUGUGUGAAGGAGUCUUAAUCACCUUUCACAUGGCCGAGCUGAUAGAUCACCGUCACAGAGGUGUGUCCUUUCACUCAAGCUGUAUCUGAUCGUGGCUCUAGCUCUCUUCUAAAAGAGCACUAGACUUUUUUCUUUAAACAUGUGUUCAGAAAUAACCCAAACAACGAUAGUAAUUUAUUAAAUCAACAUGCCACCUGUUUCCCAACGGUCAUAAGAAUGAAAGAGAGAUUGCAAUAAGUAUCAGGGACAUUCCUUUUGUUUCACUCAGUGGCUCCUGUGGGCAUCCAUGGCCUACUAGUUCAAAUAUUUCUGAAUUAAUGUUCUUUUGAAAAGUAGCCCAGAAGAUGCAGAGGAAACAUUAAGUUGUUGGAAGUUCAAACCCACCCCUCUCCUAGAAAAAUGAAAUAUUUUAGGAAUAUACUAAAGAGGCAGAAUAUUUCCCCUAAAAGAGAAGUAGAAACUUAGAGAGACAGAA